rnacentral:tRNA from 1 species
GUUCAAAUAGCUUAUCAGUAGAGCGUGGCAUUGAAGCUGCUAAGGGGAUUUAUUUAAAUCUUUGAACA